GUGCUUGCUUCGGCAGCACAUAUGCUAAAAAUUGAAACAAUACAGAGGAGAUUAGCAUGGCUCCUGUGCAAGGAUGACACGCAAUUUUGUGAAGCGUUCCAUAUUUUU
rnacentral:snRNA from 2 species